rnacentral:tRNA from 1 species
GUAGAGCAAUGGAUAGCGCGUUGGACUUCUAAUCCAAAAUUCAUGGGUUCGAAUCCCACCUCA